GUAUAAGAGACAGCAGCAGCCACGGUAAUACGGAGGAUCCGAGCGUUAUCCGGAAUUAUUGGGUUUAAAGGGUGCGUAGGCGGAUAGAUAAGUCAGUGGUGAAAGACGGUGGCUCAACCAUCGCAGUGCCGUUGAUACUGUUUAUCUUGAAUAUGGAUGAGGUAGGCGGAAUGUGGCAAGUAGCGGUGAAAUGCAUAGAUAUGCCACAGAACACCGAUUGCGAAGGCAGCUUACCAAGGCAAAAUUGACGCUGAGGCACGAAAGCGUGGGGAUCGAACAGGAUUAGAUACCCGAGUAGUCCCUGUCUCUUAUAC
rnacentral:rRNA from 1 species